CCUACGGGGGGCUGCAGUGGGGAAUAUUGGACAAUGGGCGAAAGCCUGAUCCAGCCAUGCCGCGUGUGUGAAGAAGGCCUUCGGGUUGUAAAGCACUUUCAGUGGGGAAGAAAGCCUUGGGGCUAAUACCCUCGAGGAAGGACAUCACCCACAGAAGAAGCACUGGCUAACUCCGUGCCAGCAGCCGCGGUAAUACGGAGGGUGCGAGCGUUAAUCGGAAUUACUGGGCGUAAAGCGCGCGUAGGCGGUCUGAUAAGCCGGUUGUGAAAGCCCCGGGCUCAACCUGGGAACGGCAUCCGGAACUGUCAGGCUAGAGUGCAGGAGAGGAAGGUAGAAUUCCCGGUGUAGCGGUGAAAUGCGUAGAGAUCGGGAGGAAUACCAGUGGCGAAGGCGGCCUUCUGGACUGACACUGACGCUGAGGUGCGAAAGCGUGGGUAGCAAACAGGAUUAGAUACCCUGGUAGUC
rnacentral:rRNA from 1 species